AGUCGAGGGGUAGAGAUGAGCUUGCUUUUCUGAGACCGGCGCACGGGUGAGUAACGCGUAUGCAAUCUACCUUAUACAGGGGAAUAGCCCAGAGAAAUUUGGAUUAAUGCCCCAUGGUUUAUUGAGAUGGCAUCAUUUUAAUAAUAAAGAUUUAUCGGUAUAAGAUGAGCAUGCGUAUCAUUAGCUAGUUGGUGUGGUAACGGCAUACCAAGGCGACGAUGAUUAGGGGUCCUGAGAGGGAGAUCCCCCACACUGGUACUGAGACACGGACCAGACUCCUACGGGAGGCAGCAGUGAGGAAUAUUGGUCAAUGGAGGCAACUCUGAACCAGCCAUGCCGCGUGCAGGAUGACGGUCCUAUGGAUUGUAAACUGCUUUUGUACAGGAAGAAACAUUACUACGUGUAGUAACUUGACGGUACUGUAAGAAUAAGGAUCGGCUAACUCCGUGCCAGCAGCCGCGGUAAUACGGAGGAUCCGAGCGUUAUCCGGAAUUAUUGGGUUUAAAGGGUUCGUAGGCGGUUAGAUAAGUCAGUGGUGAAAUUUCCUAGCUUAACUAGGGCACUGCCAUUGAUACUGUUUAACUUGAAUAGUAUGGAAGUAACUAGAAUAUGUAGUGUAGCGGUGAAAUGCUUAGAUAUUACAUGGAAUACCAAUUGCGAAGGCAGGUUACUACGUACUUAUUGACGCUGAUGAACGAAAGCGUGGGGAGCGAACAGGAUUAGAUACCCUGGUAGUCCACGCCGUAAACGAUGGAUACUAGCUGUUCGGUCUUCGGAUUGAGUGGCUAAGCGAAAGUGAUAAGUAUCCCACCUGGGGAGUACGUUCGCAAGAAUGAAACUCAAAGGAAUUGACGGGGGCCCGCACAAGCGGUGGAGCAUGUGGUUUAAUUCGAUGAUACGCGAGGAACCUUACCAGGGCUUAAAUGUAGAUUGACAGAUUUGGAAACAGAUUUUUCUUCGGACAAUUUACAAGGUGCUGCAUGGUUGUCGUCAGCUCGUGCCGUGAGGUGUCAGGUUAAGUCCUAUAACGAGCGCAACCCCUAUUGUUAGUUGCCAUCGAGUAAUGUCGGGAACUCUAGCAAGACUGCCGGUGCAAACCGUGAGGAAGGUGGGGAUGACGUCAAAUCAUCACGGCCCUUACGUCCUGGGCUACACACGUGCUACAAUGGCAAGUACAGAAAGCAGCUACCUGGCAACAGGAUGCGAAUCUCCAAAGCUUGUCUCAGUUCGGAUUGGAGUCUGCAACUCGACUCUAUGAAGCUGGAAUCGCUAGUAAUCGGAUAUCAGCCAUGAUCCGGUGAAUACGUUCCCGGGCCUUGUACACACCGCCCGUCAAGCCAUGGAAGCUGGGGGUAC
rnacentral:rRNA from 1 species